rnacentral:lncRNA from 1 species
GUUAAUAGUUUAGUUCAAUUUAUAUUGUAGUUUAGUACAAUUUACAAUUCAGUUAGUGGUUCAGUUCAAUUUAUAUUGUAGUUUAGUUCAAUUUAGUAUAGUACAGUUCAGUUUGAUAAAACAAAAAAAUAGUUCAGUUCAGUUUGUCUGAACUAUUUUACAGUUCAGUUCAGUUUAUACAAAUUAGUUUUUAGUUCAGUACAGUUUUUAGCAGUAUAGUGUAGUACAGUUACAUUUUCCCACUCCUAAUUGUCACAAGUUAACUUUAGAACAAUCAUUUAAGCACAAGAAUAUCAUCAAGAUUUUGAAUUUUAAAGCAUAAAUAUGCACUCAUGACACCCCCAC